rnacentral:rRNA from 1 species
UGGGGAAUCUUGCACAAUGGGGGAAACCCUGAUGCAGCGACGCCGCGUGAGCGAUGAAGGUUUUCGAAUCGUAAAGCUCUGUCCUAUGGGAAGAUAAUGACGGUACCAUAGGAGGAAGCCCCGGCUAACUACGUGCCAGCAGCCGCGGUAAUACGUAGGGGGCGAGCGUUGUCCGGAAUUACUGGGCGUAAAGGGUUCGCAGGCGGCAUGACAAGUCCGAUGUAAAAGGCGAAAGCUCAACUGUCGUAAGCAUCGGAAACUGUCAAGCUUGAGUGAAGGAGAGGCAAGUGGAAUUCCUAGUGUAGCGGUGGAAUGCGUAGAUAUUAGGAGGAAUACCGGUGGCGAAGGCGACUUGCUGGACUUCAACUGACGCUGAGGAACGAAAGCGUGGGUAGCAAACAGG